AAUGAACGUUGGCGGCGUGGAUUAGGCAUGCAAGUCGUGCGAGAAGUGUUUUUUGCUUGCAUUGAACACGGACAGCGGCGAAAGGGAGAGUAACGCGUGGUUACGUGCCCCGAGGUCCAGGAUAGCGUUGGGAAACUGGCGGUAAUACUGGAUGAUAUCUUUGGAUCAAAGGUGAGAUUCCGCCUCGGGAUCGGACCGCGUACUAUUAGCUUGUUGGUGGGGUAACGGCCUACCAAGGCGGCGAUGGUUACCGGGUGUGAGAGCAUGGCCCGGCUCACUGGGACUGAGACACUGCCCAGACACCUACGGGUGGCUGCAGUCGAGAAUCUUCGGCAAUGGACGCAAGUCUGACCGAGCGACGCCGCGUGCGGGAUGAAGGCCUUCGGGUUGUAAACCGCUGUCAGUUGGGAGGAAAGCUUUGUGAAGAGCAAAGCUUGACCGAUCUUCAGAGGAAGGACGGGCUAAGUUCGUGCCAGCCGCCGCCGUAACAC
rnacentral:rRNA from 1 species